rnacentral:rRNA from 1 species
CCUACGGGUGGCAGCAGUGGGGAAUAUUGGACAAUGGAGGCAACUCUUACCCAGCAAUGCCGCGUGAGUGAAGAAGGUCUUCGGAUUGUAAAGUUCUUUAAUUGGGGACGAAGAAGAUGACGGUACCCAAAGAAUAAGCCGCGGCUGACCACGUGCCAGCAGCCGCGGUAAUACGGGGGGGGCCAGCGUUGUUCGGGAUGACUGGGCGUAAAGGGUGUGUAGGCGGUGUAGCAAAUUAGAAGUGAAAUACCUAGGGCUUAACUCAGGUGCUGCUUCUAAAACUGCUAGACUGGAGUGUAGUAGAGGAAAGUGGAAUUCCUAGUGUAGCGGUGGAAUGCGUAGAUAUUAGGAGGAACAUCAGUGGCGAAGGCGACUUUCUGGACGGUAACUGACGCUGAGGCACGAAAGUGUGGGGAGCAAACAGGAUUAGAUACCCCAGUAGUC